GAUGAACGCUAGCGGCGUGCCUAAUGCAUGCAAGUCGAACGGGGUCCUUUGGACUCGUCUGAAGGUGAGAGUGGCGAACGGGUGAGUAACACGUUGGUGACCUACCCCAGAGAGGGGGAUAACUAUUGGAAACGAUAGCUAAUACCCCAGAUGUCAUUACUGUUAGAGGGUAAUGACUAAAGGCUCCGGCGCUCUGGGAGGGGCCUGCGGCCCAUCAGCUAGUUGGUAGGGUAAUGGCCUACCAAGGCAAAGACGGGUAGGGGGCGUGAGAGCGUGACCCCCCACACUGGUACUGACACACGGACCAGAUACCUACGGGUAGCAGCAGCAAGGAAUAUUGCCCAAUGGACGCAAGUCUGAGGCAGCAACGCCGCGUGGAGGAUGAAGGCCUUCGGGUUGUAAACUCCUUUUCUGGGGGAAGAGAGAGGACGGUACCCCAGGAAUAAGUCUCGGCUAACUACGUGCCAGCAGCCGCGGUAAAACGUAGGGGGCGAGCGUUAUCCGGAUUUACUGGGCGUAAAGCGCGUGCAGGCGGUUUUUUAAGUCGGACGUGAAAGCUCCCGGCUCAACUGGGAGAGGUCGUUCGAAACUAGGAAACUUGAGGAUGGUAGAGGAGAGUGGAAUUCCCGGUGUAGUGGUGAAAUGCGUAGAUAUCGGGAGGAACACCAGUGGCGAAGGCGGCUCUCUGGGCCAUUCCUGACGCUAAGACGCGAAAGCUAGGGGAGAGAACGGGAUUAGAAACCCCGGUAUUCCUAGCCGUAAACGAUGUCAACUAGGUGUAGGGGGUAUCCAACCCCCCUGUGCUGUAGCAAACGCGUUAAGUUGACCGCCUGGGGACUA
rnacentral:rRNA from 1 species